CAGUAGUCAUAUGCUUGUCUCAAAGAUUAAGCCAUGCAUGUCUAAGCACAAGCCCAAGAAUGGUAAAGCCGCGAAUGGCUCAUUACAACAGCCAUAGUUUACUGGAUCUUACAUUCCUACUUGGAUAACUGUGGUAAUUCUAGAGCUAAUACACGCACGAAAGCUCUGACCUUACGGAAGGAGCGCAUUUAUUAGAACAAAACCAAUCGGAGCGCAAGUUCCGCCAAUUGGUGAAUCUGAAUAACUUUGCCGAUCGCAUGGUCUCGUACCGGCGACGUAUCUUUCAAAUGUCUGCCUUAUCAACUUUAGAUGGUAGUUUACACGCCUACCAUGGUUGUAACGGGUAACGGAGAAUAAGGGUUCGACUCCGGAGAGGGAGCCUGAGAAAUGGCUACCACAUCCAAGGAAGGCAGCAGGCACGCAAAUUACCCACUCCCGGCACGGGGAGGUAGUGACGAAAAAUAACGAGGCGGUUCUCUACGAGGCCCGCCAUCGGAAUGGGUACAAUUUAAAUCCUUUAACGAGGAUCUAUUG
rnacentral:rRNA from 1 species